UUCUGGCGCGCAAUCCAGUUUACGCAGAAAAUACCCUGGGGCCUGAGAUCAUAUAAACAGGGAUAGGAGUGCAGCCUGGCAGGAACCAAAUUAUAUAGGUAUUUCUUCUAUGCCCAAGAGUGAUGGGAGUGCCUAUGAUUCUACAGAAACAUGCACCAAAGAGUCCAGACACGACAGCAACUUAGAGAAGAUGCUCUCUCAGUAGAUGCCAUUCAAAACUGGUCCUGUCUGCACCAGAAGACAGCAGGCGAAGUAUGAGGAUUGGCAACAUGGUACACACACUAGUGCCCUCCAGUCCCACCCAGAUGCUGCUCCAUGGUCCUCAGCACCUGCCUCCUGAACCAGCUGCCUCACCUAAAGGCUGGGCCAGCCCCGAGCUCAGAGGGUAAGUUUUCUACAGCAGCAUUAACUGCAUUCAUUUUUCAGUCCUUCUGUUGUGAUUCAGUUUGCCAAAACAUUCACAGUGGUUUUGUAAACCACAUUCAAAAAGCUAUUUCCAUUCUUCUUCAUUCACAGCUUCCCAAGCCUAUUUCAUCUCAGCAGGGUUUUC